CUCUCUGUUACACAAAAAGUAGUGUGCAUAUACAGGAUGUUUACUUUAAAUUGAAAAAGUGUUACAGAUAUAUUCAACAUUUAUGCCUAUUUUUAUUUAAAUUAAAUUGCAUCCAAAUGCCGAAAACUGUUGUUUAAUUCCAGUUUUUUUUUUCUUGUGCAAUAUAUGGGUGUCUGUUCAGGGAAGGACAUUUCAGACGAGCUUUUUAAACCCUUAGAGUUGGAACAAUCAUGGGAGACAACAGCAGAUACAGCAGAAGGACACACCGCAUGCAUUGAAGAUGGAGUGUCUGUUGAUGCUGUGCCAAUCAUCACUACAGAGCAUUUCACAGAAGACAAUGAGCCAGGCCCAAGUGCAGCUGAAGAGGUCGUUGGGUCUUUAGAUGGACAGCUUGAGGAGAUUUUUGGGAUGCUGAAAAAGAAGCUGAAUGAGGAUGCAAGUUUUACACCGCCUGUAAGAGCUUUUGUGUCCAGUUUCUUUCAAAUAAAGACUGACAGUGCUCUUCAGGCAUCACUCUUUUCCUUUGGUAAGACCACUCCGAUAAUCAAUCAGAUCAAUGUACUACCAGCUACAGGUCCACGGAGGAGAGGGGCUUUGGCUGGACGAAGAGCUGUUGGCAGACCUCCAAAGAACUCAAGAAGAGAGCACCCAUACUGCAACAGCAGAUCCAACAACAAUCCCCAAACUCUCACAUUCUGUUUGCAAGACAAUAACACCCUUGAGAAGACAGACUAACCUCCUGUCCCCAACACACCACCGCCACCAGCAUGUGGUGGGUUAAGAGAUCCAAACACUAUAUAGAAGCUAUUAAAUCAAUAAGCCUUGAGAAGCUUGGCAUGAACAUCAUGAAACCUGAGCAUUACAAGAAAUCAGUGUUUACACCAUUUAUUUUAUAUUUCUGGUAUUGAUGUGCACAAUUCAACAAUGCACAUUAUUCUAAAAGAGAAAACAUUGUAAUUUUGAUAAUAAUGUAAUAAACUGGCUCCAUUCAGGUAUGAAACACCCACUUUUCACCAUGCAGUCAAUUGACUGAAUAAAAAUCAAGUUCCACCCUUCAUUUUUUCCCUAUUCAUUGAAUGUUCUGUUUCAGUUUGUAUUGUCAUAUUAUGACUUUAUAUAAUAAUUGCACCUAUGCUGGCCACCAUAUAUUUCAAGGUGUCCAGACACCUGUAACUUACCUUUUAAC
rnacentral:lncRNA from 1 species